GUCAAAGGACAGGGAUAGCUGAGCUGGUAGAGCACGAGGCUCUUAAUCUCAGGGUUGUGGGUUCAAGACACAUGUUUGGCA